rnacentral:rRNA from 1 species
ACCGACACAGGUAGUCAAGAUGAGAAUUCUAAGGUGAGCGAGCGAACUCUCGUUAAGGAACUCGGCAAAAUGACCCCGUAACUUCGGGAGAAGGGGUGCUCUUUAGGGUUAACGCCCAGAAGAGCCGCAGUGAAUAGGCCCAAGCGACUGUUUAUCAAAAACACAGGUCUCUGCUAAACCGUAAGGUGAUGUAUAGGGGCUGACGCCUGCCCGGUGCUGGAAGGUUAAGAGGAGUGGUUAGCUUCUGCGAAGCUACGAAUCGAAGCCCCAGUAAACGGCGGCCGUAACUAUAACGGUCCUAAGGUAGCGAAAUUCCUUGUCGGGUAAGUUCCGACCCGCACGAAAGGCGUAACGAUUUGGGCACUGUCUCAACGAGAGACUCGGUGAAAUCAUAGUACCUGUGAAGAUGCAGGUUACCCGCGACAGGACGGAAAGACCCCGUGGAGCUUUACUGUAGCCUGAUAUUGAAAUUCGGCACAGCUUGUACAGGAUAGGUAGGAGCCUUUGAAACGUGAGCGCUAGCUUACGUGGAGGCGCUGGUGGGAUACUACCCUAGCUGUGUUGGCUUUCUAACCCGCACCACUUAUCGUGGUGGGAGACAGUGUCAGGCGGGCAGUUUGACUGGGGCGGUCGCCUCCUAAAAGGUAACGGAGGCGCUCAAAGGUUCCCUCAGAAUGGUUGGAAAUCAUUCAUAGAGUGUAAAGGCAUAAGGGAGCUUGACUGCGAGACCUACAAGUCGAGCAGGGUCGAAAGACGGACUUAGUGAUCCGGUGGUUCCGCAUGGAAGGGCCAUCGCUCAACGGAUAAAAGCUACCCCGGGGAUAACAGGCUUAUCUCCCCCAAGAGUUCACAUCGACGGGGAGGUUUGGCACCUCGAUGUCGGCUCAUCGCAUCCUGGGGCUGUAGUCGGUCCCAAGGGUUGGGCUGUUCGCCCAUUAAAGCGGUACGCGAGCUGGGUUCAGAACGUCGUGAGACAGUUCGGUCCCUAUCCGUCGUGGGCGUAGGAAAUUUGAGAGGAGCUGUCCUUAGUACGAGAGGACCGGGAUGGACAUACCUCUGGUGUACCAGUUGUCGUGCCAACGGCAUAGCUGGGUAGCUAUGUGUGGACGGGAUAAGUGCUGAAAGCAUCUAAGCAUGAAGCCCUCCUCAAGAUGAGAUUUCCC